CCCUCGCAAGGGGGAGUGGCAGACGGGUGAGUAACACGUGGGAACAUACCCUUUGGUUCGGAACAACGCCGGGAAACUGGCGCUAAUACCGGAUACGCCCUUUUGGGGAAAGGCUUUGCUGCCGAAGGAUUGGCCCGCGUUCGAUUAGCUUGUUGGUGAGGUAAUGGCUCACCAAGGCGACGAUCGAUAGCUGGUCUGAGAGGAUGGCCAGCCACAUUGGGACUGAGACACGGCCCAA
rnacentral:rRNA from 1 species